rnacentral:misc_RNA from 1 species
AAGUCGUAACAAGGUUUCCGUAGGUGAACCUGCGGAAGGAUCAUUACCAUGUUUCCGAGCUAUGCCUUUGGCUGGCUCGAUUACACCCUUGCUCUUGCUCUUACCCUGUUUCCUGCGGAUGGCAUGGCUAAAGGCCAUGGCCGAAUUGGAACCAUUUUUAAACCUUGUACUUGCAAAUUCAGCGUCAGAAAAAUAUAAUUAUUAAAA